rnacentral:rRNA from 1 species
UAUGGCCACAUCACAUUGAAACACUGGUUACCAUACGAUCACCAAAGUUAAGCAAUGUCAAGCCUGGUUAGUACCUAGAUGGGUGACCGCUUGGGAAUACCAGGUGUGGUAAG